GUUUUGAUGAGUUGAUAUUAAACGUUCAAUUGAUAUUUAGUUAGUUUAUAUUUUCUAUAGUCAUCAUUCACAUUGUGAAUAUAUAAGGCUGUUAAUUUAUCUUAUUUGUGGUGUACUCUGGU
rnacentral:misc_RNA from 1 species